rnacentral:rRNA from 1 species
UGGUGGGGGCGAGCUAUAAUGCAAGUCGAGCGAACAGAUAAGGAGCUUGCUCCUUUGACGUUAGCGGCGGACGGGUGAGUAACACGUGGAUAACCUACCUAUAAGACUGGGAUAACUUCGGGAAACCGGAGCUAAUACCGGAUAACAUAUUGAACCGCAUGGUUCAAUAGUGAAAGGCGGCUUUGCUGUCACUUAUAGAUGGAUCCGCGCCGUAUUAGCUAGUUGGUAAGGUAACGGCUUACCAAGGCAACGAUACGUAGCCGACCUGAGAGGGUGAUCGGCCACACUGGAACUGAGACACGGUCCAGACUCCUACGGGAGGCAGCAGUAGGGAAUCUUCCGCAAUGGGCGAAAGCCUGACGGAGCAACGCCGCGUGAGUGAUGAAGGUCUUCGGAUCGUAAAACUCUGUUAUCAGGGAAGAACAAAUGUGUAAGUAACUGUGCACAUCUUGACGGUACCUGAUCAGAAAGCCACGGCUAACUACGUGCCAGCAGCCGCGGUAAUACGUAGGUGGCAAGCGUUAUCCGGAAUUAUUGGGCGUAAAGCGCGCGUAGGCGGUUUUUUAAGUCUGAUGUGAAAGCCCACGGCUCAACCGUGGAGGGUCAUUGGAAACUGGAAAACUUGAGUGCAGAAGAGGAAAGUGGAAUUCCAUGUGUAGCGGUGAAAUGCGCAGAGAUAUGGAGGAACACCAGUGGCGAAGGCGACUUUCUGGUCUGUAACUGACGCUGAUGUGCGAAAGCGUGGGGAUCAAACAGGAUUAGAUACCCUGGUAGUCCACGCCGUAAACGAUGAGUGCUAAGUGUUACGGGGUUUCCGCCCCUUAGUGCUGCAGCUAACGCAUUAAGCACUCCGCCUGGGGAGUACGACCGCAAGGUUGAAACUCAAGGAAUUGACGGGACCCGCACAGCGGUGGAGCAUGUGGUUUAAUUCGAAGCACGCGAGACCUUACCAAAUCUUGACAUCCUUUGACUGCUCUAGAGAUAGAGUCUUCCCCUUCGGGGGACAAAGUGACAGGUGGUGCAUGGUGUCGUCAGCUCGUGUCGUGAGAAUGUUGGUUAAGUCCCGCCACGAGCGCA